rnacentral:tRNA from 1 species
GGCAGUGUAGCAUAAUGGGUAAGGAGUUGGCCUUGUAACCUAAACCUGGGGUCGCAGGUUCGAUUCCCUGGUAGGACACUGCCG